CCUACGGGGGGCUGCAGUGGGGAAUCUUAGACAAUGGGGGCAACCCUGAUCUAGCCAUGCCGCGUGAGUGAUGAAGGCCUUAGGGUUGUAAAGCUCUUUCAGCUGGGAAGAUAAUGACGGUACCAGCAGAAGAAGCCCCGGCUAACUCCGUGCCAGCAGCCGCGGUAAUACGGAGGGGGCUAGCGUUGUUCGGAAUUACUGGGCGUAAAGCGCACGUAGGCGGACUGGAAAGUUGGGGGUGAAAUCCCGGGGCUCAACCUCGGAACUGCCUUCAAAACUAUCAGUCUGGAGUUCGAGAGAGGUGAGUGGAAUUCCGAGUGUAGAGGUGAAAUUCGUAGAUAUUCGGAGGAACACCAGUGGCGAAGGCGGCUCACUGGCUCGAUACUGACGCUGAGGCACGAAAGCGUGGGUAGCAAACAGGAUUAGAUACCCGAGUAGUC
rnacentral:rRNA from 1 species